AGCCAAAAUUUGCACAAAUCACAUAUAAAGGUAAAAAGUGGGAACAGAAAAGUAAAUCAAAAGGUUUACAUAGGAAUUCGCCUCCGAUGCAUGAAUUCUUCCUUAAAGCAGUGAAAGAAGCAAUGCGGUCCUUCAUUUGAAAUAUUGUUGAGGAAUUUGGUUCUGCUACUCGAAAUGAAUAAAAGUUCCAAGUUUUGUUCGAUGGUGAUUCUUAGGAAAGCUUAUCAGCGAAGUGUUUAACACAAUGAUUCUGCAAUGGCAUUUGAGUCUUGAACUCUUGUUCUAUCUAUCAAUUUUCGACUGACUUAAGUUAACUGCUGCCGUUCUAUUGUUGAAAUCAUAUGAGAGAUUCAAUACAAUAGAGCAUUGGGCGCUUGGUAGCACCCCAGAGCAAGUGGUCAGGGUGAAUACAUGUACAGAGUAUAGAGUAUGGACCUGGAAUCAUUUUGCUCGGACGGGUAGAAGCCUUAUACAUAUGGUUAUAGCACGAAAUUAGCUGAAGUGGACCAAAGUGUACUUUUUGUGUGAGUUGUUCCGUAGGGAAAGCGGUGUUCUCCUCGACGACAACAUCAACAGGUAGUUUUUACACCAUCAGGAUCAGUAAGGAGCAUCUGGAAUUAAAGAACAGAUAUGGUUACAAGCAAACUCCCUUUCAAUCUGAGAACAAAGAUUUCUCUUCCCAGGAUCUUCCCUUGGAAGGCUAUGCCGCCAAGAAAGCAGCGAAAAAGGGGGUGACCACCGCUACCAAGUAGCAGCAACCACAACCGCCCGACCCGCCUGGACCUGACGCUCCCGUGCAGGAGAAGCUGCGGUGGCUUGCUGACCAAGAGACUAGGAUUCCUCAUCCGAAGUAGUUUGGAGUGGACGGGGAGUACAAUUUCAUGGUCAUUGAUCUUCUUGGUCCAAGUCUGGAAGACUUAUUCAACUAUUGCAACAGAAAAUUCACUCUUAAAAUAGUACUUAUGCUUGCUGAUCAGUUGAUUGCUAGGGUAGAGUACAUGCACUUGAGGGGCUUUCUUCAUCGUGAUAUAAAGCCGGAUAACUUUCUUAUGGGUUUAGGCCGUAGAGCAAGCCAGGUUGGUUCCAUUCUUGCACAUUUUUAUUUGCCCGACUUGAUUUAUCAAUUUUGUUUCCUUUGUAUUUGCAUAAUUCGUAGUGGCAUUAUACUAUUUAUAGUUUUUGACCUGGUCCGUGAUACGCUAAAGAAAAGUUAUAUCAUCUGGUAGCUUGGCACUUCAAACAGGGUAGAAGCUAGGGUUGGGCAAGCUUGUGGCUAGUCCAGCCUGAUCAUAUACUCUACUGGGCAUUGGGCUGGGCCAAAAAAAAUCACAAGCUUGCCCCAUUCCUGGCUCUAGUCCUAGGCCCUGGGUGAAAGCCUAGCUGCCCCAGGUCUGUUUCCACCCCUGAAUUCAAGCCCCUCAAAUUAUAGUUAGGAGAGGCUAAAUGGUAUCACAACAGAAAUUCACUGGGUUAUAGAUGGUCCUGUACAUGAUCUUUUCUUGCUUUUUAGUUAAGCAAGAGAUUCAUCUCGAAACUGUUACAGCUGAUGUUCAUGCAUUAUGAUUAUAAUGACUGUAAUGGUGUUGUACAACUCUACUUAAUUCUACUCCUGGUGUUAAAUAAUAAAUAAUUAUUAAUACAUCAGUUGCUGCCCUGAUGGAAUGACUUUGCAACGUAAACGGUUAAAAAUACUUCAGUUCUUGCGAGAUUCCAGAAAAAAACAUGUCUGAUUCGAGAGGGGGAGAGGGUGUUACAUACCUGAACUCCCUGCUCUGAUGAUCCGCCUUUUUGAUUCAAUGAAAUUCGGGAGGGGCAGGUUGAACUCCAAAUACACGAGAUCUCUAGCCCGAGCCAUGGUUCAGUGUACCCUUUAUAUGGGGCGUUUAUGGGAAAUGUUUUAAUUACCAUAGCGUAAUGUAUGGGUCGAGUUAAUUUACAUUAUUUGUGGGAAGGUGAUAUUACAUACCUGAGGAAGGUAAUUUGUAAGAUUACCAUAGCGUGAUUCCUGGGCUGAUGGUUUUGUAACAUUGCGGCCCGGGCUGAUUAAAUGCGCGAGUUGAUAUUGUGGGAAGGUUAGGACGACCAAAGUGCUGGAUUGCAGCGUGAUUUCAUAUUGACUGUUUCGAAAAUGGUAAGAAAUCCAUGCCUUUAUGUGACGUCAUCAUAUUGAAAAAAUUCAGGAGACACGAAUAUUUAGUUGAUCUGAUUGACAUUCCUUUUGCCAAUUUACCAAAAAUUAUGCUAUAUUUAUUAACAGAUCCGAGAACUUCCAUAUUAUGCUCUGUUUUCCAAUAAGAUUUUUAAGAACUUCCAUAAGACUAUAUUGCGCUGACUAUAGAUGCGGUUUGGAACAGUUUUUGGAACCUUGUAAUUUAUUGUAAAGAAUUGAGAUAUGGUAAGAUGGUUCAUUCCUUUUUGCAAUUUAUUGUAAUUUAUUGUAAUUAAGAUCGUUCUGGGGUCGUCAGUCUGGGCCGUGUGAUGGCAUGUAACCGUGUUACGUGAUUUGUGGAGAUGCGGGUUGGAACAGUUUUUGGAAAGUUAUCUCUAUACUGUAAAUAUCACGGGAUUUGUGGAGUUAUUAUUGACGUAUUGGGCCUGGCCCAUGUGGAGGACGGACAAACGACGAAACGUAUUGACGAAAGGAAACGACGAAACGACGAAACGGAUUGACGUAUUGGCAGAUGGCGGAAUAAGGAACCAAUUGAG